rnacentral:rRNA from 1 species
AACGAACGCUGGCGGCAUGCCUAACACAUGCAAGUCGAACGAACCCUUCGGGGUUAGUGGCGCACGGGUGCGUAACGCGUGGGAAUCUGCCCUUGGCUUCGGAAUAACAGUUAGAAAUGACUGCUAAUACCGGAUGAUGUCGCAAGACCAAAGAUUUAUCGGCCAGGGAUGAGCCCGCGUAGGAUUAGGUAGUUGGUGGGGUAAAGGCCUACCAAGCCGACGAUCCUUAGCUGGUCUGAGAGGAUGAUCAGCCACACUGGGACUGAGACACGGCCCAGACUCCUACGGGAGGCAGCAGUGGGGAAUAUUUGACAAUGGGGGCAACCCUGAUCCAGCAAUGCCGCGUGAGUGAUGAAGGCCUUAGGGUUGUAAAGCUCUUUUACCCGGGAUGAUAAUGACAGUACCGGGAGAAUAAGCUCCGGCUAACUCCGUGCCAGCAGCCGCCGUAAGAC